AUGCAAGCGCGCUCUAUCGCUGUCCGCUUCGGCGGAGGGAGGAAAGUCCGAGCAACGCAGAGCGCCGCACGUGUAGUAGCGUAACAGAAAAUAACCGCCGGCCGCGGCCUGUGCCGUCGGCCGGUAAGGGUGAAAAGGCGGGGUAAGAGCCCACCGCGGAGGCAGCAAUGUCGUCCGGCUGUACGCCUUGCGGGUUGCAAGACCAUGUAUAUCGACAAUUAAGGGUUGCUCGUCCGAUGUCGAGGGGUAGGUUGCUGGAGGCCGCAGGUGACUGCGGUCGUAGAUAAAUGAUAGAGACCCCUGUAAAGGGUGACAGAACUCGGCUUAUAGCGCUUGCAUCUCC
rnacentral:RNase_P_RNA from 1 species